UGUUAAGAACCGAGCACACGUGUUCACAUGCAAGUCCUGAGUCCCUCCGAGAUGCUGGCGACCGGGGCCAAACUCCCUUCUCAGACAACCCAACGGACAUCGGUGCUGAGCCCUCGCCCCUAGACCUGCGGGACCGAUCACGCAAGAGUAAGUGAGGGACCAGUUCAGAAGACUAAGUCUGACGUCCAGAAGAGAGUGAGAGGGUCAUCCAUCAAAGCAGUUUAUAUCAACAUAAGCGGGGGACCUCCAGUGACAGAGCCUGACAAGCCUCAUUUGGGUAAAAUAAGAAAGCAAGAACUCGUGAAUCUACUCUCACCGGCAAUUUCAAUAACCGUGAAUAUCCAGUUCCUCAAGCACUACGCUGAACAGAUUUCAAUUUCUGUGUUGAAUUGCUUUGGUCUCUUUGUAUGAAGCCGUUUGAUCUACAUGCAGCAAGGGGAGGGAUUUCCCUCAGCCCUCAGUCCUCCUCCAGUGGUUGACUGCCGUUCCUCGGCACCUGGUAGAAGGCUUGGAGUUCCUGUGAAGUCCGUCUUCUCGCCAUCAUAACUGGGAAGGCUCCUAUACUACAACAUGCUGGGACACUUCCGCUGCAGAAGGGUCUCUCCAGUCUCCUGCCUUGCCACCAAUCCCUCUGCUGAGUACCCAGUGAAGGCCUAUGUUAAGGGCUUAGCAGGGUAGUUCGGAGUCAUUUGUGGACCCUGGACGGUCUCCAAACUACACUCUCACCUACACUCAACAUUUAGAAAUCCAUAUAAGUAUUACCAGUUUUCUUCCUACCGUUUUUAUGGCAGUUUUUUCUUCUGCUCUGCUGAAGAUUAAAAUAUCCAUGGAUUCCAUAUCUCCUAAGAGCACUUGGCAUUUCUCAUAUUUUAAUUGAUUAUGUUACUUUCAGACAUUAGGUCUUCAAUGGGUUAAAAAAAU